rnacentral:rRNA from 1 species
AAGUCGUAACAAGGUCUCCGUUGGUGAACCAGCGGAGGGAUCAUUACCGAGUUUACAACUCCCAAACCCCUGUGAACAUACCAAUUGUUGCCUCGGCGGAUCAGCCCGCUCCCGGUAAAACAGGACGGCCCGCCAGAGGACCCCUAAACUCUGUUUCUAUAUGUAACUUCUGAGUAAAACCAUAAAUAAAUCAAAACUUUCAACAACGGAUCUCUUGGUUCUGGCAUCGAUGAAGAACGCAGCAAAAUGCGAUAAGUAAUGUGAAUUGCAGAAUUCAGUGAAUCAUCGAAUCUUUGAACGCACAUUGCGCCCGCCAGUAUUCUGGCGGGCAUGCCUGUUCGAGCGUCAUUUCAACCCUCAAGCCCAGCUUGGUGUUGGGACUCGCGAGUCAAAUCGCGUUCCCCAAAUUGAUUGGCGGUCACGUCGAGCUUCCAUAGCGUAGUAGUAAAACCCUCGUUACUGGAGAUCGUCGCGGCCACGCCGUUAAACCCCAACUUCUGAAUGUUGACCUCGGAUCAGGUAGGAAUACCCGCUGAACUUAA